ACUGGGGGGCCCUCUCAGUUUCUGGACGGAAGAUAUGGGCCCGGGACUGACCGGACUGACCGAAAGGAGCAAGAAAAACUAGACCUGAUCAAAUUGUGAACCAAAGAAAAGGCAACAACAUAUCAAUAACCUUGUGUCUGAGGACUAACUGUAGCCAAAUUCUUUAGAAUAAAUCAAAAUGAUUGAUCUGAGGGUACAGAAGGGGCCUUAGUUGAGAGAGUUAAGGAAAUCCCUAUCGGGCAUUCUUUCUUUCCUAGGAAACGGCUCCUAAGAUGGCCACCAGUGACUCAAACGAAACUUGUAGGGUGGGGGGAGUUCCCUCUCAGUAGGACCUCUGGGGUCCUACAAGUUCAUCCUCCAGGGACUUGAGGCUGCAACAUUCACAGUGGUCUCUUCGAAAGGACAAACACAGAUGAACAUCUGAGGGUCCCAGUGCUGACCCCAAUGGCUGCAGAGGCAGGUUCUGAAUGGGCCAUUCCUCCCCUGAAAAGGAUCUCCUAGGACACCCACAAGAAAUUUGAGAUGCAGGUUUGAAAAGAAUAUCCUUUCCAUCCAAAGGAUCUUUGGUGCUGGAACCAACAAUUAGGAGCAGGGGCAGGCUCUGCAGCUACAGGAUACAGCAGUCAAAAAGACCAGCCUUUUGAAAGGACCUGUGGAAUGGGAUGUUCAAUGGCCAAAGCAUGGGAGCCACUGUUAGAAGACCUGGCAAAACCCUCUUUAAUGAUGUCCAGCGACACUGAGACUGACCAGUCAGAAGCUUGAGUGCUGAAGGAGCCGACAUACAAUAACUCUAAGGAGAAAGUGGAGUCUAGCGCUGCGGUGAAGCCUGCAACAUGGGACUUGGAAAAGUCUUGCACUCCAAGGGUCCCAUCAAACUGUGGAGCAAGAAGGCUUCCAACACGCAGUGGAAAUGGUUAGGAGAGGAUCCAGUUUUAAUAGAAAACAAGCAUGUUGUUUUCUUUUCAGGAGAAGGAAGGACAGUGACUCCCAAAAGGGUGUGGAUGGCACAGGCAGGUGGCUUCAGUCGUGAUCUAUCAGGCACUCUCACAGCCCUGACUCUAGAUGGUGUGGCUCUCCUUGUGCUCGGGACAGGACAGAUGGACACUGCUUCUCCCACACCCACUGUUUUAGUACUUUGACAUUAGAACAUUUGCCGAAUGGGUUCUCAACAUUGUCAAACACGAAUUUCACCAGGAGAUCCACACCAUUAUUUGCUUAAAACUGAAUAGCCUUUCAAAUAGCACCAGCUUUCAAAGAAAGGGGUACCUUUAAAGC
rnacentral:lncRNA from 1 species